ACAGCAUAUUUGCCAAACGGAGACAUGGGAUUGUGGACCGACCUGCAUUCAAAUGCUAUUGCAUUGGUUAAGAAUAAAUCAAACGCAGCAACAGCAGCAAGGACAAAUCAUUCA
rnacentral:ribozyme from 1 species